rnacentral:rRNA from 1 species
GACGAACCGUGCGAACGUUGUUCGGAAUCACUGGGCUUAAAGGGCGCGUAGGCGGGUUCGCAAGUCUGUGGUGAAAGCCUCCAGCUUAACUGGAGAAGUGCCGUGGAUACUGCGAAUCUUGAGGAGGGUAGGGGCGUCUGGAACGGUCGGUGGAGCGGUGAAAUGCGUUGAUAUCGACCGGAACUCCGGUGGCGAAGGCGAGGCGCUGGACCCUUUCUGACGCUGAGGCACGAAGGCCAGGGGAGCAAACGGG